AUUGAACGCUGGCGGCGUGCCUUACACAUGCAAGUCGAACGGUAACAGGUUAAGCUGACGAGUGGCGAACGGGUGAGUAAUGCAUCGGAACGUGCCCAGUAGUGGGGGAUAGCCCGGCGAAAGCCGGAUUAAUACCGCAUACGACCUAAGGGUGAAAGGGGGGGAUCGCAAGACCUCUCGCUAUUGGAGCGGCCGAUGUCAGAUUAGGUAGUUGGUGGGGUAAAGGCCUACCAAGCCGACGAUCUGUAGCUGGUCUGAGAGGACGACCAGCCACACUGGGACUGAGACACGGCCCAGACUCCUACGGGAGGCAGCAGUGGGGAAUUUUGGACAAUGGGCGCAAGCCUGAUCCAGCCAUGCCGCGUGCGGGAAGAAGGCCUUCGGGUUGUAAACCGCUUUUGUCAGGGAAGAAAAGCUCUGGGUUAAUACCCUGGGGUGAUGACGGUACCUGAAGAAUAAGCACCGGCUAACUACGUGCCAGCAGCCGCCGUAA
rnacentral:rRNA from 1 species